rnacentral:rRNA from 1 species
UUGUUGGUGGGGUAAUGGCCUACCAAGGCGACGACGGGUAGCCGGCCUGAGAGGGCGACCGGCCACACUGGGACUGAGACACGGCCCAGACUCCUACGGGAGGCAGCAGUGGGGAAUAUUGCACAAUGGGCGGAAGCCUGAUGCAGCGACGCCGCGUGAGGGAUGACGGCCUUCGGGUUGUAAACCUCUUUCGACAGGGACGAAGCGCAAGUGACGGUACCUGUAGAAGAAGCACCGGCCAACUACGUGCCAGCAGCCGCGGUAAUACGUAGGGUGCGAGCGUUGUCCGGAAUUACUGGGCGUAAAGAGCUUGUAGGCGGUUCGUCGCGUCGAUUGUGAAAACUUGCAGCUCAACUGCAAGCUUGCAGUCGAUACGGGCGGACUAGAGUACUUCAGGGGAGACUGGAAUUCCUGGUGUAGCGGUGAAAUGCGCAGAUAUCAGGAGGAACACCGGUGGCGAAGGCGGGUCUCUGGGAAGUAACUGACGCUGAGAAGCGAAAGCGUGGGUAGCGAACAGGAUUAGAUACCCUGGUAGUCCACGCCGUAAACGGUGGGUACUAGGUGUGGGUUUCCUUCCACGGGAUCUGUGCCGUAGAUACCGCAUUAAGUACCCCGCCUGGGGAGUACGGCCGCAAGGCUAAAACUCAAAGGAAUUGAGGGGGGCCCGCACAAGCGGCGGAGCAUGUGGAUUAAUUCGAUGCAACGCGAAGAACCUUACCUGGGUUUGACAUACACCAGAAAGCUGUAGAGAUGUAGCCCCCCUUGUGGUUGGUGUACAGGUGGUGCAUGGCUGUUGUCAGCUCGUGUCGUGAGAUGUUGGGUUAAGUCCCGCAACGAGCGCAACCCUUAUCUUAUGUUGCCAGCGCGUAAUGGCGGGGACUCUUGAGAGAGUGCCGGGGUCAACUCGGAGGAAGGUGGGGACGACGUCAAGUCAUCAUGCCCCUUAUGUCCAGGGCUUCACACAUGCUACAAUGGCCGGUACAGAGGGCUGCGAUACCGUGAGGUGGAGCGAAUCCCUUAAAGCCGGUCUCAGUUCGGAUCGGGGUCUGCAACUCGACCCCGUGAAGUUGGAGUCGCUAGUAAUCGCAGAUCAGCAACGCUGCGGU